UUCGGGUUGUAAACCUCUUUCACCCAUGACGAAGCGCAAGUGACGGUAGUGGGAGAAGAAGCACCGGCCAACUACGUGCCAGCAGCCGCGGUAAUACGUAGGGUGCGAGCGUUGUCCGGAAUUACUGGGCGUAAAGAGCUCGUAGGCGGUUUGUCGCGUCGUCUGUGAAAUCCCGCAGCUCAACUGCGGGCUUGCAGGCGAUACGGGCAGACUCGAGUACUGCAGGGGAGACUGGAAUUCCUGGUGUAGCGGUGAAAUGCGCAGAUAUCAGGAGGAACACCGGUGGCGAAGGCGGGUCUCUGGGCAGUAACUGACGCUGAGGAGCGAAAGCGUGGGUAGCGAACAGGAUUAGAUACCCUGGUAGUCCACGCCGUAAACGGUGGGCGCUAGGUGUGGGUUUCCCUUCCCACGGGAUCCGUGCCGUAGCCAACGCAUUAAGCGCCCCGCCUGGGGAGUACGGCCGCAAGGCUAAAACUCAAAGGAAUUGACGGGGGCCCGCACAAGCGGCGGAGCAUGUGGAUUAAUUCGAUGCAACGCGAAGAACCUUACCUGGGUUUGACAUGUACCGGACGACUGCAGAGAUGUGGUUUCCCUUGUGGCCGGUAGACAGGU
rnacentral:rRNA from 1 species